AGAAUCUCUUAAUGUACUGAAGAAGAAAGGGGGCGAAGACAGCAGGGAAGGAAAACCCGGGGAAAAAACGUAUAAAAAAUUCACCACAUAAAUUAGCUGGGCCUCUUGCUGCAAAAACUAGCAAUUUCAUCUGAAUCUGAAUCCCGCGGCUCCUUCUCCAAGUGCCUGGAGGAACUGCAUCACGUAAUCUACAAGGCCAUCAUCAUCUUUUCCAGACCAGGACAAGAGCCUCCUAAGUGGACUUUCCUUGCAUCUGCCUGCAUUCAGUUCCCCAGACCAGCGGCCUGUGGUCCUUUAAUCUCAUCGCAUCACGGGAGUGGUUACAUUCUGCGGUGGCUGCAAAAACUAUCCACUAGUUUGAUUUUAUGGUAUUGGCGGUAUGGUUGUGCUUGUACUCUACUUCCACGCAAAGGUAUGAAAAUUUCAAUUAUUUAAAAAUAUCAGUUGAGGAUUGGUUCAGUGAGGAAGGGAUUAGCAUAAGCAUCCAUAAGCAAACCUAAGAGAUGAUUAUUUUAUUAGAAAAUUCUGCACUUUAUAGAAACAUAACAUUCCUUUAAGUGUCAGGCACUUAAAAUAUUAGCUCAUUUACUCUAAUUUAUUUACACAACACUUUGAAGGAAUAUAUUGAUUACAUAAUGCAAGGAACACUCAUACCCACACAUGGAUAAUGUAUGCUUCUUGAGGGUUAUUAUCCUAUUCAAACAAGUGCAAAAUAAUAUCUUUGUGGUAUCUGUACUCCCUAUAAUUUUGAUUUUCAUUGAAAUCUAACUCCUGGGAGAACAAAUAACCAAAGAGAGAAGUAAGGUAGCCAAGGGAGCUGUCAUUAAUGGUUUCAUGGUUCUGGCUUUUAAACCACUAUUGUGCAUCUGAGAUCAAAGUAGCAGUGCUGCCUGUGAGAUUCACAGAUGUAAUCUGCUCUUCUUGCUUCUAGACUAGGUACACUUGUCCAGGAAGCAUACACUUAGAUACUAACUGUAAGUCCUGCUUAUUUUGAUACAGUGCUACCAUAUAUCAAAAUUUCUCCUACAUAUAGAUUCAUGUUCAUGCUGUUGAAAAGUAUUUUUUAUAAAAAGCUGCUUAUUUUUGUAUUAGAAAAAUAUGACUUUUGAUGAUCAGUAAUUCAUCAGAAAUGCACAUAUUUAGUACAAUUUUCACUUCACUGAAAAAUAUUUACCAGUACUGUUGGUUAAAUGAUAUGAACUUCUUGUCAUGGAAUAACAAAGGUAGAAAAUGCCUCACUCUUUCUACAUAAAAACAUUUUUUAAGCUGUAUUCUUCCGUCUCUCUUCUCCUCUCUUUUUUCUUUUCUUUUCUUUUUUCUUUCUCCUUCCUUCCUUGCUUCCAUCCUUCCUUCCUUCUUUUCUUUCCUUUUUGUAUAUGGUGUUAGGGAGUGUUCUAAUUUCGUUCUCUUACAUGAGGCUGUCCAGUUUUCCAAGCACCACUUAUUGAACAGGCUGUCUUUUCUCCAUUGUAUAUUAUUUCCUCCUUCUUCACAGAUUAGCUGACUGUAGGUGUGUGGGUUUAAUUCUGGGCUUUCUAUCUUGUUCCACUGAUCUGUAUUUCUGUCUUUGUGCCAGUACCAUACAGUUUUGAUGACUGUUGCUUUGUAGUAUAGUCUGGUCAGGGAGCCUGAUUCCUCCAGCUCCAUUUUUCUUUUUCAGGAAGUCUUUGGCUACUCUGAGUAUUUUGUGCUUCCAAACAAACUUUAAAAUAAUUUGUUUGAGUUCUGUGAAAAAUGUCCUUGAUAAUUUGAUAGGGAUUGCAUUGAAUCUGUAGAUUUCCUUGGGUAGUACAGUCAUUUUGAUAAUAUUGACUCUUCCAAUCCAAGAGCAUGGUAUGUCUUUCCAUCUAUUUGUGUCAUCUUUGAUUUCUUUCAUCAGUAUCUUAUAGUUUUCAGAGUACAGGUCUUUUGUCUCUUUGGGUAGGUUUACUCCUACAUAUUUUAUUCUUUUGGAUGCAGUAGUAAAUGGGAUUGCUUCCCUAAUUUCUCUUUCUGAUCUUUCAUUGUUAGUAUAUAGAAAUGCCAUUGAUUUCUAUAUAUUAAUUUUGUAUCCUGUGACUUUGCCAAAUUCAUUGAUGAGCUCUAACAGUUUUCUGG
ensembl:lncRNA